rnacentral:rRNA from 1 species
GACGAACGCUGGCGGCGUGCUUAACACAUGCAAGUCGAACGGAAAGGCCCUGCUUUUGUGGGGUGCUCGAGUGGCGAACGGGUGAGUAACACGUGAGUAACCUGCCCUUGACUUUGGGAUAACUUCAGGAAACUGGGGCUAAUACCGGAUAGGAGCUCCUGCUGCAUGGUGGGGGUUGGAAAGUUUCGGCGGUUGGGGAUGGACUCGCGGCUGAUCAGAUUGUUGGUGGGGUAGUGGCUGACCAAGGCUUGGACGGGUAGCCGGCAGGAGAGGGGGACCGGCGACAUUGGGCCUGCGAUACGGCCCAGACUCCUACGGGAGGCAGCAGUGGGGAGUAUUGCACAAUGGGCGGAAGCCUGAUGCAGAGACGCCGCGUGCGGGAAGACGGCCUUCGGGUUGUAAACCGCUGUCGCCUGUGACGAAGCGUGAGUGACGGUAAUGGGUAAAGAAGCACCGGCUAACUACGUG